rnacentral:rRNA from 1 species
AAGGCUUCAGUACGACCCAGUCAGAACUAUAAGUCUCAAAGCCCCGACGAGUAGGGUGGCGUGCCGGUGCGCGUUGAAGGCCAAGACGUGAGUCAGGCUGGAGCCGCCGGUAGUGCAGAUCUUGGUGGUAGUAGCAAGUACUCUGGUGAACCAACCUGGAGCUGUGAGGUCUGGAUCAGGGUUCCAUGUCAACAGUGAUUGAACAUGGGUGAGUCGAUCCUAAGCCAACUGUGAAAGCAGUGACAUCCCGACAAAGGGGCAGUACAUGCGCUGCACUUGCACCCCCACAAGACAAGCUCUCUCUCUCUGGUACGGUAAAUGCGCAUACGCGCUGGUCUGAUUACGCUCAAAAGCGUUGUGGCUCAAAACGAGAGAGAGUGUGGGUGAGCGCGAGAUUGCUCUUGCAUGAGCCUCCUGCGUCUGGUUCUAUGUCUGGCGAAAGGGAAUGGGGACUUUGUUCCUUGACCGGUCCCGGCACCCUCGAUUGGCUUUGCCAAUUAAUGGUCCAUGCAAAUGGAACCAGGCCACAGCCGCCGGCAGUCGCCCGAGGAAGAGUUUUCUUUUCUGCUUAACGCACGAGGUCAUCCCUGGAAACAGUUCGGCUGGCGAAAGGGUGCCCCGUUGCGGCAGAGCGCCACGACUGUCGUGCGCGUCUCGGUGUUCCUGCCGGUCCGUGAAGACGUGGUCGAGGGGAUUGCUCUUGUAUCAACGAAACGCCCGACAAGUUCGGGACGGACCGUACCCUAUAUCCGCAUCUGGUCUCCAAGGUUCGUAGCCUCUGCAGAGUCAGACACAUGUAGGUAAGGGAAGUCGGCAAACUCGAUCCGUAACUUCGGGAAAAGGAUUGGCUCUGAGGGCCGAGCUGGGCCGGGCCUUGCCUGCAAAGCAGUACCUAUAGUGACCGGAGUUUCAGGAGUGCGAGGGGCUCUAGUAGCUGCUUGUGCGUGUGUGCGUUCGCGCGUGCGCGCGUGUGGGCACGAACGAGUCCACCGCUCCGCUCCAACCACGAACGGCUGUGACGGCAAGGGCUCUGGGCGGGAGCGAUCAAACCGUUGGCCCCCAGCUCGUCUGGGUGGCGGCGGUGCUCCGUCUGACCCAUACGGCUCCAGCGGCUAGCGGCUAACUCAGAACUGUCAUGGACCAAGGGAAUCCGACUGUCUAAUUAAAACAAAGCGUCGUGACGGCCCCUGUUGGGUGUUGACGCGACGUGAUUUCUGCCCAGUGCUCUAA